rnacentral:rRNA from 1 species
UAAGGAAUCUUCCACAAUGGGCGCAAGCCUGAUGGAGCAACACCGCGUGAGUGAAGAAGGGUUUCGGCUCGUAAAGCUCUGUUGUUAAAGAAGAACACGUAUGAGAGUAACUGUUCAUACGUUGACGGUAUUUAACCAGAAAGUCACGGCUAACUACGUGCCAU